UGAGUUUUGGGUUGUAGCCUUUCUCCAGCAACCUUAGAGGGCGAAGAAAGAGAGCAAAACGCGGAGACCACCGCGCCCGUCCCAUCUCCGCCCACUCCUCCGCCUCCCACCUCGACCUCCCCUGCUACCGUUUCUUCCACUUCUCCGACAUCCGCUUCAACACCUCGCUCCUCCACCGCGUCCUCGACCUCUCCCCCGCCGCCGGACGCGCCGCCGUCGACCUCUACCGCUGGAUAUUCGCCCACCGCUCCUUCCGGCGCUCCUACAAUUCGAUAUUGGACUGCGUCUGUCGGCUCGAUUGGAAAAAGGAUCCCCUCCGGCCGGCUCCAGUCGGAGGCCGACAAGGUGCUCGUCGAAAUGGAAGCGGCCGGGAUGCAGAGAUAUUCUGUGUCCUCAUCUCCAACCUCUGCAAGAUCCGAAAGACCGAUGACGCCAUGAAGCUCUUCCAAAACAUGGGCGAGUGGGGCUGCUCCCCGGAUGCCGAGACUUAUAUCACUCUCAUUCGGAGCUUGUACCGGGCUCGGAGGGUGAUGAAAUGAUUGGAUUUGUGAGAUCGGUCGAGUUUGGCGACAAGCUCGACCGGAAACCCUACUAUGAAGGUGUCUUGGGUGAUGAAGGGGAAUGGCCAUGCCCCCGGCAUCAAGACCUAUGAUUUGUUGAUGGGGAAGCUGGCAGAACGCAACCAGUUGACAGAGCGAAAGCCCUGUUCAAGGAGGCAGUGGCUCGGGGCAUUCCUGUGACACCCAAGGUGUACAAGGUCAAUCCGAGGUAUGUGAAGUUGCAGAAGGCGAAGAAGGAGAAGAACAGGUUGAUACUGCCGGAGAAGAUGGAAGAGAAACGAAAGGGGCUUAGAAAGUUGAGGUUGAGCUUUGUGAAGAAGCCGAGGUCCCUGCGGAGGAUUCUCUGAUUCUGAGAUGUCAUCUGGGAUGCAGAAAAAGGUAGACAACUUGCAGCAUUACAACAUUCCCCAUCAUUUACCUGGGACUUCCUUCGACCGCUUAUGCACUGGCAAAGAAUGAUUGGCACUAUCUCCUAGAGAGAUUUCAGCAAAAAUUAUUUGACUGGAAAGGUCAACUGGUAUCAAUGGGAAGCAGAUGGACCCUUGUCAAGUGGAUGCUUUCUUCCUUGCUAAUAUACUAUAUGUCCUUGUUCUUUCUAACACCAACUUCUGGUAAGGAUUGACAAACUUUAAAGAAGCUUUUUUUUUUUUGUUUGGGGGGUGGGGGGUGGCAAACCUACUUCAUGCCCUUUCUCUGAUUUGGUGAAUUGGAAACUGGGAUGCAAAACUAAGAAAGGAGGAGGAUUAUGAAUAUUAAAUCAGGCAGACAUCAACCAAGCCUUACUGUUUAUAUUGGCUCGGAGGUUGCUGAAUGGUGGAGAACAACCAGGAUAAGCCAGAUCAACUCAACUAAUUAUAAUGGAACCAAUGUUAGCUUGAGCAGAAGGAAAAGGAUGACAACAGCCUCAGUAUUAUGGAGAUCCGUCUGCAAAAAUCUUGACCCUUUUUGGAUGAGUCUUCAUUUCUUUUUACUUUUUAGGUAGAAGGGCUGAUACCACUCUUUGCAUGACAUAUGGCUUGGUGAGCACCCCUUGUCCAUAUUGUUCUCCAACAUUUUUGCUACUGUGAACAUAAGGAGGUAACUAUUUUGGACUGCCAGGGUACUUUAUCCUGCAGCUGAGUUAUCAACCUGCAACCUCCCAUAUGGAACAUUACACUAGAGGAACCAAGGGACCUGGCUGAUAUUCUAAGUAACAUCAUCCCUCUGACCUUGAUGUGGAGGUGGUCGGAUAGGAGAAUAAGAUUAUUCUCCAGAUUCUUGAAUCAAAGAUGUGUAAUCUGCCCUAUGGCUCAGAUAUUGCGGAAACCAAUGCUUUGGGGAAGAUGAAGAUUUUUAUGUGGUUGGCUAUCAAAAACAAAUUGAACACGGGUGAAGUCUUAAGCAGAAAAGGAUGGACUGCAUUAUUACACUGUCCGAGUGUCCUCUGUGCGAAGCAUUCCCAGAGCAUAUAGAAAAUAUUUUUCCUUCCUGUUGCUGGGAAGCAACUGAAGCUACCCUGAGAUUUAGAUGGGCAAGAGGAAUAUCCCCUUAUGGAUAGAUUGGAGGAAAGAAGAAACCUAACAGUCUAUGGUGUGGCAUGGGACUCAUUUCUUCUAGCUAUAUGACUUGGUCAUUUUGGAUGGAAAUAAACAGGAGGAUCCUCUGAAGCAAGGAAAUUGUUGUCCAGGAGGUCUUUCAGAAAGCUCUGCAUAAUUUUCUUAGCUGGGAGCCAUUGUUCUCUCCUGGACUGAUGCCAGGUUUUCUGCUUCUUAAGAAUGUUUUUAGUCAUGAGCAGGUUAUAUAAGACCGCUGUUUUUUUGUUCUCUCCACUCCGUGGGAGAGCUUAUGUAAUCACUCUUCGUAUGCUGAAUGAAAGGUGUUUUCUGUUCCU